AUGCCUCGUCUCCAUGGCCGCGCCCCAGCUGCGCUUGCCAUCCGCCACCUCCUCAUUUCGUUCCUCCUCGCGCUGCUCCCGCUCGCGUCUGCGCAGCAGGAGUACGAGGCCAACGCGCAGAGCGACUGCUACGCCAACAACGGCAGCUCGGUCCUCGGCUACACCUGCAGCAGCAGCAAGAGCAACCACGCUAACUCCUCGUCGGCAUCGGCAUGCGCCACCUACCUGGCCUUCCGCUCCGAUCUGCCCGGCUACGGCACCCCAAUCACCGUCGCCUACCUCCUCAACGCCAGCGCGUCCGCCGUCGCCGCCGCCAACUCCGUGCCCAUCGCCUCCCCGGUCCAGAACGGCAGCCUGCUCCUCGUCCCCGUCCGCUGCGCCUGCAUGGCGGCGGGGCACUACCAGCACGACGCCGCCUACGCCAUCCAGUUCGGCUACGAGACCUACUUCUCCAUCGCGAGCGACGUGUACCAGGGGCUCUCCACCUGCCAGGCGAUGAUGGCGCAGAACCCCGCGCACGAUAGCCUCGAUCUGUAUCCCGGCAUCGCCCUCACCGUGCCGCUCCGCUGCGCGUGCCCUUCGCCCACGCAGGCCUCGACUGGAGUCAAGUACCUCGUGACCUACGUUCUCGACUGGGACGACGACGCGUCCACCCCACCCACACCGUCACCGUCACCGUCACCAGCACCGUCCGAUGUGGUGUCAGUCCCGCCGGCGAGUUCCACUGAAUCCAGCAGUGGUCCUACUCCAAGGUGGCGGGUCGUCGUCGGCGUUGCUGCUGGAUGCAGUGUUCUUACUUUGGGUGCCCUGCUUGCUCUGUUCUUGCUAUGCCGUUGGCGUCGGCGGCACGGCGACCGUGGUGACCGAAGCAAGACCACCCUACCGGCAGUGGAGCAUGCUGUGUCAGACGGGCCUGCGAAGGGAGCUUUGACGAGGGCGGCGUCCUUGAUGUGGCCGAUGGUGGUGCGCGAGGCAGUGGGGUCGCUGACCGUGUACGACUACGGGGAUCUAGAGAGGGCGACAUCAGGUUUCUCGGAGGAGCAGCGUAUUGGAAACUCGUCGGUCUACCGCGCGGUGAUCAACGGCAGCGCUGUGGUCGUGAAGCGAGUGCCCGGCGACGUGGGCACUGAGGUGACCAUCCUGGGGCGCGUCAACCACUCGAGCCUCAUCCGCAUGUCCGACCUGUGCAUGCACGGCGGCUACACCUACACGGUGUUCGAGUUCGCCGAGAACGGCGCGCUCAGCGACUGGCUCCACGGCGGCGAGGAGGAGGAGGAGGGCCGCGUGCUCGGGUGGAGCCAGCGCGUGCAGGUGGCGCUCGACGUGGCAGGCGGGCUCAACUACCUGCACAACUACACCGACCCUCCCUACGUGCAUAAGAACCUCAAGGCCAGCAACAUCCUCCUCGACGCAUGCUUCCGCGCCAAGCUCUCAAACUUCGGCCUCGCGCUCGCGAUCACCGAGGACGACGACCGCGGCGGCCUGUGGAUGACCCGGCACGUGGUCGGCACGCAGGGCUAUCUGGCGCCCGAGUACCUCGAGCACGGGCUGAUCGGCCCCCAGCUCGACGUGUUCGCGUUCGGCGUCCUCCUGCUUCAGCUCUUGUCCGGGAGGGAGGCGGCUAGACAAGACGACGACGGCGGCGGCAGCGGCAAGAACGGGAAGGUGGUAUUGCUUUGGGAGGAAGCGGAACGGUUGGGCCUGGGCGGCGGCGGCGGCGGCGACCUGCUGGACAAGGUGACGGCGUUCGUCGACGGCCGGCUGCAUGGGCAGUAUCCGUUGGACGUGGUGUUCGCUAUGCUCGCGUUGGCACUGAGGUGCGUGGCCCGGGAGUCCCGGACGCGGCCGUCCAUGGCCGAGGUGCUCCUCUCGCUCUCGGGGGUGUACAAUUGGACAAUAAAUUGGGACCCUCGGUGCCCUGAAGGCACCGGAACUCCUCACGAACAAUAG
rnacentral:rRNA from 1 species